rnacentral:rRNA from 1 species
AGAGUUUGAUCCUGGCUCAGAACGAGCGCUGGCGGCGUGGAUAAGACAUGCAAGUCGAACGCUGAUUUCAAGGUAGCAAUAUUUUGGAGUCGGAGUGGCGCAAGGGUGCGUAACACGUGGGUAAUUUGCCGUGAAGUUUGGGAUAACUUGCUGAAAGGCGAGCUAAUACCGGAUGUGAAUGUAAGAAGGCAUCUUUUGACAUUCAAAGUUGGGGACCGCAAGGCCUGACGCUUUACGAUAAGCCCGCGGCCUAUCAGCUAGUUGGUGAGGUAACGGCUCACCAAGGCUAAGACGGGUAGCUGGUCUGAGAGGACGACCAGCCUCACUGGAACUGAGACACGGUCCAGACACCUACGGGUGGCAGCAGUCGAGAAUUUUUCUCAAUGGGCGAAAGCCUGAAGGAGCGACGCCGCGUGGGGGAUGAAUGGCUUCGGCCCGUAAACCCCUGUCAUUUGUGAACAAAUUAUUUCACCUAACACGUGAAGUAUUGAUUGUAACGGAAGAGGAAGGGACGGCUAACUCUGUGCCAGCAGCCGCGGUAAUACAGAGGUCCCAAGCGUUGUUCGGAUUCACUGGGCGUAAAGGGUGCGUAGGCGGUUUGAUAAGUCUGAUGUGAAAUCCCGCAGCUUAACUGCGGAACUGCAUUGGAAACUAUUUGACUAGAGGAAUGGAGGGGAGACUGGAAUACUUGGUGUAGCAGUGAAAUGCGUAGAUAUCAAGUGGAACACCAGUGGCGAAGGCGAGUCUCUGGACAUUUCCUGACGCUGAGGCACGAAAGCCAGGGGAGCAAACGGGAUUAGAUACCCUAGUAGUCC